GACGAACGCUGGCGGCGUGCUUAACACAUGCAAGUCGAACGAUGAAGCGGGUGCUUGCACUCGUGGAUUAGUGGCGAACGGGCGAGUAACACGUGAGUAACCUGUCCUUUUCUUUGGGAUAACGGCUGGAAACGGCUGCUAAUACUGGAUAUUCAGGCUGCAUCGCAUGGUGUGGUUUGGAAAGGUUUUUUCUGGGAUUGGGUGGGCUCGCGGCCUAUCAGCUUGUUGGUGGGGUGAUGGCUUACCAAGGCUUUGACGGGUGGCCGGCCUGAGAGGGUGGUCGGUCGCACUGGGACUGAGAUACGGCCCAGACUCCUACGGGAGGCAGCAGUGGGGAAUAUUGCACAAUGGACGAAAGUUUGAUGCAGCGACGCCGCGUGGAGGGUGUAGGCCUUCGGGUUGUGAACUCCUUUUUCUCGCGAAAAAGGCACAGUUUUGGCUGUGUUGAUGGUAGUGGGGGAAGAAGCGCCGGCUAACUACGUG
rnacentral:rRNA from 1 species